UUUUUUUUUUUUUUUUUACCGUAGCUUCACUCUACUUUUGAUGAUAAGAACGCUUAAGGUAAUGAUUUGCUAUAGCCACAAUCUGGAAGUAUUCAACAACACACAAAAAGUAGUUCAAGUUAGAUUACGGAUAUUUUAAAAACACAUUUGUCACAAGGCAAUACUUUUUUUAGAAAGGAGAAAAUGCAAAAUUUGAAAAGGAAAUUUUAAAGGAAAGUCUUUAGGGAUAUGUAGGCAGAAAGGACUAAUGCCUAUACAUUCUUCCUGAUGUUAUUACUUUUCUUAAUGGGAUCACAUAAUGUGCUGGGGGUCACAAUUAGAAGGUCCCUUAGAGAUUCCAUGCAACCCUAUGUAUGACUUACUGAGCAGGGAGAACUAGCAGCAAAAUGUGAUUCCAGGGCCUGCCUGCUCUCACCUAAUCAACAACUUUGUUACCAAAGCAGCCCCUCUUCCUCCCGCUGGAUUUAGUUUUCUCUCUCUACAGGGAGUCAUUCCACCUUAGAGUCAAGACAAUGACAGUUUCUAUCUUUUAAAAUAACCAAGCCAAAAGCUUCCUUAGAAAUAGACUCACAGACAGGUAACAAAGUUACCAUUACUGAAGGGAAAGGUGGGGAGAGGAUAAAUUAAGAGCAUGGGAUUAACAGACACACACUACUAUAUAGAAAAUUGAUCAACAGCAAGGACCUACUGUAUACCACAGGGAACUAUAUUCAAUAUACCAUAAUAAAUUAUAAUGGAAAAGAAUAUCAAAGUGUAUUACAUAUUAUAAAUCACUUGGCUGUACACCUCAAACUAAGACAACAUUGUAAAUCAACAACAGUUUUAAAAAAUACAUCAUUUUCUACUAAUGUUUUCCAAACAUAUUAUAUUCCCUUUUAUAGCCAAGCCUCAGAAAAGAAGAUUCCAUCUAUACUCUUGAUAUAUCCACUCUUGACUUUAGUCUCUUUCUAUUGUCUUUUCACACCUUUUUUCUACUCACACCAUUGAACCUGCCUCAGUGGCCACUGCUUCUCAGGCCUCUUUACAUUUUCCUUCUCCUCUUAUAACCUCAGACCUUUCCCUUCUUCUUCUAUAGUCUUCUACUUCCUCCUCCCUCCCUUCCUUCAUCCUCCAAACUAACUUCCCCAGGAAUUCAUAUCCAAUCCCUUUCUAAGGUUUAAUAAAGCAUCAUUUAUGUCUCAGGCACCAACCCAAUCCCUAAAUUUUAGACUUGAGUAUCUUGUUUACUAUCAACAUCUUAAUUUAAAAAAAUUCAUUUAGCUUAAUGUUAUAUAAUAGUCAAUAUAGAAAGGCUAUAUCCUUCCAAACAAAAAUAGCGGACAUUGUCAGCUAAUCCCACCUUAUGUUGACAGUUAUUAGAAAUGGAACAUCUUCAGAAAAUCUGGGUUACAUCUUCUCUACAUUAAAAGACUUAUUUUCAGUUUGGCUCAUGGAAGUGUUUCACUGAUAUAAAAAGUAAAAGAUUUUUCAACAUAAUUUUAUGCAAUAUCUUACACAUAGUUUUGUAGCAAGGGAAAAAUAGUACCUGUCAUGUCCAUAAAAUGGAAUUACACUAAAAAAGAUAUGAUUUGUUUUGAAUUUUUUAUAAUUAGGAAAAAAACAUAUUUGUCAUCCAAGAACCUAUCUACACACAGUAUUUUUAAUAAAUCAUCUUAGAGGACUGUCACAAAUAACUUGAGAUUCAUAAAGAUUCAAAUAAGAGCUAAGUCUGAGAUUUACUUAUUGUUUACACAUAAAUUGGAUAUCUCCUCUAUUUCCUAGCAAUAGAAACAAAAGUAAUCUGGCCAUUUAUUAAGAGUAGUAGACAGUUUCUAUUUUAUCAGACAUUCAUAUAAUGCAAAUAAUUGACAACAACAUCAAGUGACUUUGAUAAGAACACCUCUGCAUACUUUCAAUUAAGCCAAAAUGGAGUAUCACACUGACGGUAUCAAAGGUAACUCAUGAGUUUGACUUUUACUCAAUGUUACCCAAUUCAAUUGACCUUUUAAGGGACAAAGUAUGCCAACAGUAUCAGUGGCAUGUGAGAUAACACUACCUGAGAUUUGCUUCUUUUUUUGAAAGAAAAACAUACACACAAAAUUUCAUUAUUUCAUAUGAGAAAAUGUAUAAAAUCAUAUUAGAAAUUAUUUCAGAAAUAAUGAAGAAAAGAAAGAAAACAUAACAAGCAUUUCAAUUUCUAAUCUGUAACAGAUUCUGUGUAUUAUAUUACCUUUGUACUGGUACCAUAAUUUUUACGUUUUUAAAAAAUUUUCUACCCCCUUCCCUCAGGUUUAUUCUAACUUCCUGCUCACAUCUUGUUCUUUUCUUCUAGAACUUUACUACUUUAUUAUUCUAUGAAGUAGUUUCCUGAGUUAAGAUGAUAAAAUUCUAAGGGCAGAGCCCGUCUCCAAUUGAUAUUUGUAUCUAUUCUACAGUAACUGUUAUUUUAUCUUGGAAAAUGCAGGGCUUUACAUUUGCAUCAGUUUGCUUUUACUGCUUAACAAAGCAUCCUCCUAAGUAAUGAAUUUGUUGAAAAAUGUAUUCAUGUUAUUGGGCUGGAAUUAGGGCUCAGUUAAGCUAUGUAGUUUAUUCCUCUGGCCCCUGCUCAACUCAUUUGAGCAUCUGCAGUCAGCUUCCUAGGAAGUUCUGCCCGUUCUGACUAGGCUGUCUCAUAUGCCUGGAAUGACUACUUGAUCCAUGUGGUCAUUUGUCCAAGCAGCAUCCUAUCCUAGGUUAGUUCUUAGGAAUUCUUAGUUCUUAGGAUCACAAAAACGACACCACAAGUUCUCAAGGCCUCCAGGCACCUUAAAUCCAAAUUGGUGCAACACUGUUUCUGCUUCAUUCUCUUGGCUAAUGCAAACAGAGCCCAGAUUCAGGAGACUGGAAAGCAGACAACAUUUGCAAGUAGGAUCCAGGAAAUCACAUUGCAAAGGCACAAAUAUGGGAAGGAGAAAAAUGUAUGGUUAUUUCUAUCAUCUACCACAAAGGUUUUAGUAUUUUUUAAAAGAGCAUGUCUAUUAUUUACAUUUGUUUUUCUCAAAAUAGGUAUUUUUAAGGAGAUGUACUACUAUAAAUGCUACUUAACAUUUAACAUGGGAAUCAGCAAAUCACACACUGAUAGAGCUGGAUAGGUAACAGAUUUACUAAAACCUCAUUUUCAGAUGAAAAUUGAUGGCCAUUGAGCUUGCAUGACUUGCAAUGGCUGAAUCAGCCCUAAAAACCAGGUCUCCUGAUAGCUACUCUAGUUCAUUUUCUAGUAAUCCACACUAUAGCCAUGCAGGAACUGCCUCUGAUGCAGUGGGUUAAGAUCCCAACUGCAGCAAUUUGGGUUACUGGGGAGGUGUAGGUUCAAUCUCCAGUCUGGUGCGGUGGAUUCAAGGAUCUGGCAUUGCCACAGCUGUGGCUCGGAUUCAAUUCCUGGCCCAGGAACUUGCAUAUGCCAUGGGUGUGGCCAUAAAAAUUUUAAUAUUUAAGUUGGAAAUAUUUCAAAAUAUGCUUAUAGUAUUAACAUAGUUGUCAUUGUGCCAUAGCUGGAAUUUAUUUAUAAUUAACAUAUUUAAUAGUUUUUUUAAAAUUAUUUUCCAAGGAGCCUCACUUCGUAUAUUUAUUUUGAUACCACUCUUCUGUUGUUCUCAUUUAAAAUUUUCAAAUAUGUGUAUUAAACAUUCAGAUACAAGCUGCUAAACAUAGACACAUAAGUGCUAUUUGAUUUAAAUGGCCCUAAUUAAGACUAAAAACCAGUUAAUGCUGUAUAUUAAAAUCAUACAGAAUAAAAGAAUUCAUGUGAAAAUUAAAAAUUUUAUAUACAAAAAGCUAAGUAUUAAUUGCAUCCCUUAUUCAUCAUACAUAGUGAAUGUUUCAGUAUUUCUUUUCUAUGAAUUCUAUCAAAAAUGAAAGUCAGAUGAUGCCAAGAAAAAGGAGGAAAAACAAGAAAAUUUCUAAGCAAACUGACAUGUUCUCAUGAAUAACUCCAAAGAGUAUAGUAUUUAAAAUAACAUACUAGUAGAAGGAAGAGUUGCAGCAGUAAGCUCAAGUUUAUAGAUGAAAAAUGGAUAAUACAAGAUUAAUAAGGACUAAAUUUUCUAUUUACAACUUUCUGAGAAAUAUAAAAGUAGGAAAAACCCAAGAGAUCUGCUCACUACCUCUAAGUGGCCAACAGGGACUGUUUUGGCCAUUUAAUUACUAUUGAUUUUAUUCCAUUUACAUUUCUAUUUAUUCUAUCCAAAAAUCAACCAACUAGCAUUAUAUUUAGUAAUGGUCCAUGUGCAAGGCAUUUGAAUGUCAAGUACUAAUAAAUAAAUAAGAUCUGCAAAUGCACGUUAAAGACUAGGGGACAGUGUGUACUUACAAAAGGUAACUGUACCACCAAUCUACUGAUGAACAGGCAGCCAAGGCCCAGAACUUUGAGGAGAGGAGCUAUGUUUAUCUUCCUCAGCAAUGACUCUCCAGUGCUGAGAAACAAGAACCAGGCAGGUAACAGACACUGAAGAAAGGCCUAUUGAGUAAAUGAGUAAUAUGACCUUCACUGAGCUAGUAUCAUUCAAGAUUGCAGUACAUCACUUGGCUCAAUUUAGUAACAAGACUAACUCAACAAAUUAAAAGAGUUUGUUUUAUUACCAUGAAAGCCAACCUGAAAGUAAUUUUUUCUUCUAUAGUCACAAAUCUCAUUGCUGAAAAUAUGAUCAAAUUUAUGAAAGAAAUUCUUAUUUUAUCAAUGAAUUAGAAAUCAAUAGGAUGGAUAUGUACAUACAUAUACGUGUAACUGAAUCACUUUGUUGUACAGCAGAAAUUAUCACGACAUUGUAAAUCAACUAUAUUUCAAUAAAACUUAAAAAAAUACAAUGGAAUACUACCCAGUCAUCAAAAAGAACAAAGUAAUGCCAUUUUCAGCAACUUAGAUUCAACUAGAGAUUCUCAUACUGACUGAAGUCAGAAGGAAAGAGACAAAAACCAUAUGAUACCACUUAUAUAUGGAAUCUAAAAUAUGGCACAAGUGAGACCAUCCACAAAAACAGAAACAGACUCAGAGACAGAACAGACUUUUGGUUGCCAACAAGGAAGGGAGGGAAUGGGGUGGACUGGGAGUUUAGGGUUAGUAGAUGAAAAGUAUUCCACUGAGAAAGUAUGAGCAAUGAGAUCCUACUGUAUAGCACAGGGAAUUACAUCCAAUCUCUUGGGAUAGAACAUAAUGGAAGACAAUAAGAGAAAAAUAAAACGGGUCACUUAACUAUAUAGCAGAAAUUGGCACAACACUGUAAGUAAACUGUACAUUAAUUAAAAAAUAAAAGCACAAAAUACCUGAGAAAUUAUUAGAUAUGUAAUAAUAAAUGUAUAUUCUAUUUUACAAAUCGUUAUUACUCACAUAUUAGUUUUUAUCUACCUUUUAUUAUAACAUUAGAAGAUACUUAUCAAAAUGAAAUCAACUUGGUACUUCAGAAAACUGAGAACAUAGAACCACCACAAGAUCCAGUAAUCCCACUGCUGGGCAUAUACCCAGACAAAAACUUUCAUUGAAAAAGGUACAUGCACCCCUAUGUUCAUUGCAGCAAUAUUCACAAUAGCCAAGACAUGGAAAGAACCUAAAUAUCCAUCGACAGAUGAAUGGAUUAAGAAGAUAUGGUAUAUAUACAUAAUGGAAUACUAUUCAACCAUUAAAAAGAACAAAAUCAUGCCAUUUGCAGCAACGUGGAUGAAACCAGAUA
ensembl:lncRNA